rnacentral:rRNA from 1 species
AACGUAGGACACAAGCGUUAUCCGGAGUUACUGGGCGUAAAGGGCGCGUAGGCGGCUGGGGAAGUCGGCGGUGAAAGCCCGGAGCUCAACUCCGGGUCGGCCGUCGAGACUCCUCGGCUCGAGCUCACUAGAGGCAGAUGGAAUUCCCGGUGUAGCGGUGAAAUGCGCAGAUAUCGGGAAGAACACCCGUGGCGAAGGCGGCUCUCUGGGACGGUACUGACGCUGAGACGCGAAAGCGUGGGGAGCGAACAGG